rnacentral:lncRNA from 1 species
GGACAAGAAUAAGAAGAAACUUUAGAAGAUUGAAAGGAAAAUGUUACGUUGGGUGAGUCCUUUUCUCACAAAAGAUUAAAUUUUUAUUAUGUAGGGUUUGAUCCCCAAUAUGAAAAUAUAGGUAUGUUGAUUUGAGUUUUAAGUGUUCAUUCUAUUUUUGAUUUCAUUAAUACAAUUUUCUAAAAGGUCAAGUUAAAUUGGAUUCUUUUUUGUUUUAUUUUUUGUCCAUACAUUGUAAAAAAAGGUGAAACAAAACCCUUGGUAAAUUCAAUCGACGAUUAUAGCUGUGUCUUCAUCCUAUUGCGAUUUUGCGGCGGCUUUUUGUAUAUGUUGCUGUGAUUUGCUCAUUUGCAGUAGCCUUUGUACAUCUUGCUGCAAAUUCUGAUGGUUAUAUCUUUAAAUUGUGAAGUAUGUCUAUUUAGAAUUUUCCUCCAGUCUAUAAUUUUUUUUCAAAAAAUUUUAGUACAAAUAAAUUCAGAAGGCUGAGAUAUAAUCCUAAAACCUUCAUUCUUGAGUAUCUUUCUUCCACUAUCUUCAACCUUAUUGCUUUUCUAUUUGAUUUAUUUAGUGGGAAUUUUGAGAGAUCCUUUUUGUUUUCUUUCAACCUUAUUGCUUCGUUUCAGACGCUUCUCAAGUAUUGUCAAGCAGAAAUUUUGACGAUUGGGAUUACUGUUCCUGGGUCAAGUUUCUUGCGAUUUAGGUUCUCGGGUGGUGGAAUUUAAUAUUGUUGGUGAGGUCAUUCUUCUUCUUCUACUAGAAUUUAUAGAUUUCUAUUCUAUGGGUUUCAAAUUAGAAGGUUUUUUUUGUUUGGGUAAAAAUGAGGGUGUUUUGGUGACAGAUUUUUAAGAUUAUUCCUAUUCAUGUUAGCAUUCGUAUAAGUCACCGUUUGUUUCCGGUACAAAGUUUAUGGCCCUGCAGAAAUAAAAGGUAGCGAUAUUGAUUGGAUGGAGUUAACUUUGCAAUAAAAAAAUCCAAGCAAAUAGAAUUUGGCCAAUUUGGAAAACCAGCAUCCAUUUAAUCAUCACUUACGUAAAAAAAGUUCGGCACUUAAUAAAACAUUUUACAAUAAUUUUUGCUCUAAAAGAUGUAUCAAAUAAAUGAUUUUAUAUGUAACAAGCUACCAAGAAAUGUCACUGUAAACAUAAACAUAGAUUAAUUGUAAAGAUUUCAUCAACUUAGUUGAAUGAGCAUGUAUUGAGAAGACAGGAGAAGACAGAAGAAGAAAUCUAGGAAAUAGAUGUCAUGAUCCUUAUGCAAGCAUGCUUGUAUUCAAGCUAGAAAAAGCCAUCGAAUAUAUUAAAAAAAAAACAAAAACUUAGGGCUUGUUUGAGCCCCAUUGUUUUCAAAAAUGCAUUUUGAAAUAGUAUUAUGAUAGAAAGUGUGUGGUUAAAAAAUAAGAAAAAGAUUUAGAUUUUCAUGUAAUAUUAUUAAAAAAUAUGUGGUUGAUAUAGAGUCAAAUAACUAUUGAAGAAUGUAUUUUGAUAGAAAAAUGGGGAUUAAACACAAGCUUACUUUAUUAUUUUAAAAUAAGCAUGCAGGAUACAAAUGCGCAUUAUGUUGAUAGACGGCAUGUUCAAUAGGAUUUUGAACUCAAUCCUAUACCAGGAAACUAAGAAUUUGUAAUGUGCUACAGAUUGCGGAAUUUUAGGAUAAUGAAAGAUGGAUUGAUAAAUUGUUUUCGCUGGCUAUAUGUUGGCUAGAUUUCCUUUUACACGCAUAUAAAGUGUCACCUCCAAAUCCACAUAUGCAGAAUCCUCCCUACUUAAUCUGUGCAUAUACACUUUGUUACUUAGACUUGGCCGGAAGUGUCGGAUAAAAUCAAUUGUUGAACAUGGGUACUCUUUUUCUUCUUUGGGUUUUCAAAAUCAUUCUGUAAAUUAUUCAUGAUCUCUCUUUCUUAGUUUCAAGCUAGCUUGAUGAUGAUGAAUGAAAGUACCCGAUGAUUGGAAGUCGGUAAGAAAUUCCUCUUUCAUACCUUCAAAUAGGCAUGUUUUUAUUUGGAUACAUUGAUAUAUUUUCAUAUAGACAAACACAUAAAGCACAAAGGGAAUAUAAAGAACAAAGAGAAAUUCUACCCACAACUAAAGGAAACUUUUGCACAAACAUCUAGAUACAUGAACGAUAUGGUUCUCUGACAUUUGUGUACGUUGGCAUAAAUAUGAAUGUCAUCAAGGCAAUUACUCAAAUAUUUAUGUGCUAAUUAUCAUUAGUGCAUUUGUUCAUAUUCUGUUAAUAUUUGAUUGCACUGGCAUUGAGGAUUUGUUUCUCAAUUAAGUUAAUCAGAAUGAGGAUAUAUAAUACCUUGUUCUUAAUCAUGAUGCCGCCUAAAUUUUUAACCGGAAAUGGUGAGAGUUAGUGUCUUCAAUAACGCUCUUAAGAGCAUGUACAAUGCAGAGAAGCUAGGGAAGUGUCAGGUCAUGAUUCAACCAUCCUCCAAAGUCAUUAUUAAGUUUCUCUUCAUGAUGCAAAAGCAUGGUAUACAAAACAUUGUGUGGUGUUAAUUUGUUGUCUAUUUACGCAUGCAAUAUUCUAUCUAUACACUUAAUUCUUUAUCAUGUCUGUAGGAUACAUUGGAGAGUUUAAGUACAUCAAUGAUCACUGAUCUGGUAAAAUUGUGGUUGAACAAAUGUAGAGUCAUCAGCCCUGACUUUGACGUUGCUAUCCAGGAAAUUGAGGAAUGGAAUGCAAGGUUGCUUCCCUUCUGGCAGGUAAUAUAUAAAAAAACAUUGUACAUUAACAUUUGGAUGAUGAUCACUUGGUGAAUAUUGAGCUAUCAACCUGGCCAUAUGAUAAUAUAUAUGUUUUGCACAUGCACCUUUUAUUUCAUGGAAUAGUAUUAUCAAGGAGACUCUAUCUCUUAUUCAAACUUUUAUUAAGGUAUCUUCAAUUAGCAUGUCAAUCGGAUAUCUCCAUUCUUAAAUAGCUUCACAUCUUCCUAUCGUAAAAUGUGAUUAUUAUGUUUGGUUGUACCCUCAUUUCAUUCGUCUUUUCCCCAGUAGGUCGAGCAAAUUGUACUUUGUAUAGUAAUUAGACUUCAAAAAAAAUAUUAUCCUGCCUCAUCAGAUGUACAAUGGUAUGCUGCCAAUCCCAAGAGAAUGCUAAUUGCUGAAGUCCACAAAAUUAAAUUUCAUUUUUCUUACUUUCCUUCCUUCAAUAAAUAUCUUCUUUCAAUUGUUUUAAGCUCAUUUUACUUUUCAGUUUUGGAUACAUUUGUUGGCAUCAUGGAGCAUGAAGAGGCUAGGAGAAAGAAGGUUGAGGGGGAAAGUGUGCAAUCCCUGUGCAAACUAGUUUCUGAUGUAAUGUAAGUGAUCCCUACUUGAAUCAACAUAGUACUUAAAAGAAUUGAGGAAGUGUGUUCCAUGCACUGGUUGCUUGGAGCUUAAUCUUGAUUCUUUAAAUGCUAACUCUUCGUUUCUCGUUCCAUGCACUGGUUGCUUGGAGCUUAAUCUUGAUUCUUUAAAUGCUAACUCUUCGUUUCUCGUCUAAGCAUUUUAUCAAAUAGCUUGUGCGGGAUGAAGAAAUUAAUUUGACAAAGUGGCACUUAGAUGAUUGCUUUUAUUACCUUGACAAUUUUUCCAAGAUUACAACUUUUGUUGCAAGUCUUCAAGGUUAUUAAGUUCCAUUUGCCAUGUAAUAAAAACUAGGUUGUGUCGAAAUUAUUUCCUACUUAUAUGAUGUUUCACAAAAAAGUUGAGUAUCGAAUAAUUCUUAACUUUGUAGAAACGAGUACAUAAAAAAUGUUAUUUAAGAAGUCCCCUAAAAAAAAGGUGAAAAAAAAUCUAUUUCUAGAAACACUAAAAUUACCUUCGAAAUGACAAAGCUCGUGCAUGGCACGGGCAAUAAACUAGUAUAAAUAGAAGGGUGCAUGAUAUAGAAGAAGUUACUUAUUUUAAUGGUAGUCACUGUACAUAGUUUUUUUGAUAGCUUACAGCAUUUACAUAUUUCCAGAAUUCAAAAGAUAGCAAAAUAAUUAAACCAACUCUUUCAUCUGAAAACAAUAAGUUUUCUGGUUUCUUAACUAAAGACUCAAUAUUAAGUUACUACAGUACGACGAAUUUCGUGUAUUAAAAUACAAAAAUUGUUACAAAUUGUAUUUUGAUAAAAUACAAGUGAUUUGACCUUCAUGUAAUUGCAAAAUUGUAAAAAUCUUCUGAUAAAUGAUCUGAAUAUUUGAAGACGAGGGGUCACGUGGCUUGAAACCUAGUCUUCGAUAAUUUUUUGAAAAUUUGAUUUUUUGAGACUUGACCUAUUCAGCACUUAGAUUGCUUGGACUUGAACUUGGAUUUGAUUUGAUGUAAAGAAAACUUUGAUCUUCUUGAAUUUGGUGUGAACCUGUUUUGUUCAAAGAAGAUUUUGAUUUUCUUAGGGUUCAAAAGAUUUGGGUUUGAGAGGAUUUAUUCUCUUCCUUCGACGUUGAAAUUUUUUCAGUACUUCGUAAUUGUCUUCUAUGCUUUCACUUCUUCUUGAUUUUCUUCUCCCUCCUCCCCUUAUGGAUAAUUGGUCCUAUUUAUAGGGGAAUUUCCGUGCUAAUUUUGGUAAUACUAAAUUAUAUUUAAUUAAAAUGAAUAAUUGAGUAAUUUAUUAUUUUAUUUAUUUAUUUAAAAUGUGAUAUCGGCUUUUCGGUUUUAUGGACUAUAGUAGGCUUCAAUUUAAUUGGCAAAUGAUUUAAAUUGAUCCAAUCCAUUUUUUAAAAAUUUUUUUAUAUCAACAAAUGUCCCCUCAAGAUUUAUUUAUUUAUUAUGAAAUAAAUAAAUAAAUCAUAAUAAAUAAAUAAAUCUUGAUUUUCGAUUUUUUUUUCGCCUAUUUAUUUGAGUGAAUUAUGAGAUUUGAAAACAGGUUUGUUAAAUCUAGCAAACAGAGGUAAAUAAAUGUUUUUCCUUCCCCUCCCCCCUCCCUCUUGUUUGUAUUUUUUUUAUCCUUCUCUUGGUUUCAUCGUUGACCCUUUAUUAUUUUUUUAAUAUUUCUCGAUUUCUGCAGCCAGCGGAAAAAAAAUGGCGGCGGAAACCAUUGAUUUGGAAUUGGUUUAGGAAUUGGAAUUAUUAUCUCCUUUGUAUAUUUUUAUUUUUAAAUUUUUUUUAAUUAUUAAUUAGCUUUCUUGGUUUCUGUAAAACCAAACAAUUGUGGGCAGAAACCAAAAAACCAUGGUUUCUACCAAAUUUUUUUUCUUCUUUUUCCCCUUUAUUUAUUUUUUCAAUUUCUUUCUUUUUAUUUCUUUUUAGUUCUUUUCUUCUUCAUUUUUUUUUAUAGAAUGUCUUUUUAUUUUGGGUUGAAUUUUGAUUUUUGUUUUAUUUUUUCUUAGUGUGGGUAUUUUAUUGAAGUCGAAACUAACAUUCUUCAUUUUUUUUUUCAAGAACUCAACUUUUGAAGUAAGCCGAGAAUUUUGAGGUUUGAGGGUUUUGUGUGUGUGUGUGGAAAUUAAAUUUUUGUGCUGCAACUACUUUAGAAGUUGGAAAAUAUAUGCUUAUGAACAAACUUAAAAUUACAAACCUUUUCAUAUGAAUUGAGGACCAAGGACUCUCACUUUUCACCAUCUAAUGCACUUUUUGUUUAGGACUAAGAAUCUGUUCCUUCGACUGUCCAAGACAUUUUGUGUUGAGGAACAAAGACUUGUUCGUUCGAUCAUCCAAUGCGCUUUAUGUUGAGGAUCAAGGAUUGGCUCCUUCGAUUGUCCAUGGCGUUGAGGACCAAGAACCAGCUUCUUCGACCAUUCAAGACAUUUUGUGUUGAGUACUAAGGACUUGCUUCUUCAACCGUCCGAGGGACUUUGUGUUGAGGACCGUCCAAGGCACUUUGUAUUUAGGACCAAGGGCUGGCUCCUUCGACUGUCCAAGGCACUUUGUGUUUGGGACAUUUACAUAUUUGGAAGGCUCGUAAUUUUAGAUGAUAAUGAAUUUAAGAGAUUUACUACCCCUUUUUAUUUGCUUUCUUUUUUCUUUUGCAUGAUAGGAAUAAGUUCCAAUGAUAAAGUAUACUCUAACAUACACGAAAUUAUUGAGCUUAAAAAUUAAGGCAAAAGUUAUUUGCGUUUCAAAGAUACCAAUUUGAAGUACCAUGCCUAGACUUGCCAACGAAUGAUCCUUCUCCUGACCUCCUGAGCCAUUGUUGGAGUUGUAUAUGCCUACCAUUAGUGAAUGUCACGAAAGUUUGGAUAUUGGCAAGUGCAACCACUUCCGCAGAGCAUGGAGUGCAUCCCAAAGGCUGAANUUGGUUGUACCCUCAUUUCAUUCGUCUUUUCCCCAAUAGGCCAAGCAAAUUAUACUUUGUGUAAUAAUUAGACUUCAAAAAAUAUUAUCCUGCCUCAUUAGAUGUACAAUGGUAUGUUGCCAAUCCCAAGAGAAUGCUAACUGCUGAAGUCCACAAAAUUAAAUUUCAUUUUUCUUACUUUCCUUCCUUCAAUACAUAUCUUUUUUCAAUUGUUUUAAGCUCAUUUUACUUUUCAGUUUUUGAUACAUUGUGCUGAUUACAUCUGCUGGCAUCAUUGACCAUGAAGAGGCUAGGAGAAAGAAUGUUGGGGGAAAAAAAGUGCGCAAUCCCUGCGCACAUUAGUUUAUGAUGUAAUGUAAGUGAUCCUUACUUGAAUCAACAUAGAACUUAGAAUUGAGGAAGGGUGUUCCAUGCACUGGUUGCUUGGAGCUAAAUCUUGAUUCUUUAAAUACUAACUCUUCGUUUCUUGUCUAAGCAUUUUAUCAAAGAGCUUGUGCAGGAUAAAGAAAUUAAUUUGACAAAGUCACUUUGGCGAUUGCUUUUAUUACCUUGAUGAUUUUUGUUAUCCAAGAUUACAACUUCUGUUGCAAGUCUUCAAGGUUAUUAGGUUCAAUUUGCCAUGUAAUAAAAAUUAGGUCGUUUCGAAAUUAUUUCCUACUUUCAUAUGUUUGAUAAAAAGGUUGAGUAUCGAAUAAUUCUUUAACUUUGCGUAAGCGAGUACAUAAAAAAUGUUAUAUUAUGCACCAAAGAUUUAAGAAGUCACCAAAAAAAAAAAAAAGUGGAAAAAAUUUUAUAUAUUCUAGGAACACUAACAUUACCUUCGAAAUAACAAAGCGCGUGCAUGGCAUGGGCAAUAGAUUAGUAGUACAAUAAAGAGACCUUAACUAAUUACAAUACAAUAUCUUUAUUUUAAAUAGAAUACUACUUUUGGAGAUAAUAUAGCUCACUACACUAGAUAAAGAAAUACAAUAUAAUGAUAUAUACAAUUGGAAAAUAUCAUUUUCUUAUAUAUAUAGAAAGUGAAGAAAAAUAUAAAAAAAUAAAAACCAUUAUCAUCUCACCUACACUUAUUUCAGUUUGGACCGAGGCAUAGAUGAUAGAUAUACAUAUUAUGUGAUUAAUUGUCGCCUCAUAGAUCCCUCGCGAGAUGUUAGCCAUGGUUAACUUCUGUUCAUAGGGUUAAUCUCUAAUCUUUUGUCUUGAAGGGUAGCUUAAAUUACUUAAUGCUAGGUAGCAAAAACCUUAAAAAAAAGGUCUCCCAACCGUUUUGUGCCAGCAUUUAGUGCUAAAUGUGUAAAUUACCCUAUUCUUUAUUCUCUCCAAAUUCUUACAGAUCAACUCUAAUUAACGUGAGCCCAUUUUUCCUUUCUUUUUGUACAUAAAAUGCAGGAGGAUACUAUUAAGUGGUUCCCCGGGUAUAACUGGAAAGAGGGGAAUGGAAUCCAAGAUGAAGUUUAAGAGAGAUUCACUUAUAGAGAUGAAGAAAGGAUAAGAGAACAAAAAUAGAGUUACAAUUUAAUCAGAAUUUUAAAAUAGAUUUGAUCAGAUCGUAGAAGUAUUUCGAUAAUGUUCUAAUUUAGUAGAAGUUCAUUGGACUUGAUAAUAGAUGAUUUAUUCAUUGUAAUAUUCAACCCGUAAUUAUAUGAAUAGUCUUCAAUUAUUCAACCAAUUAAGCUUGUCUCAUAUGAAAAAUCGAGAAACACCACCAACUCAAAAUCAUAUAAAAAGACAGCAUAAUUUGGCCCUAUUAGAGUUAAAGAACUGCACAUAGAGAAUCAGAUAUGGCAUAUGCUUUGUACCUUGAAAAGUCAUCAACCAAGUUGGCCCGGAGAGUCAGUGUCGGCAAUAUCAUCAAAAAGUAAAAAAAAAAAAAAAAAAAAAAGGAAAAGUGCGUCAGAUAAUUAUUUCACUCCAUUGAAUUGCUAGUGAAGAAUAAUUACGUAGACCAAGUUAUACUGUUCAAUGGAAGUUUCAGGAAGGCAUAUAAUAGCAGCAGUUGCAAUAUCAGGAUGCAGCUUAAUCUUGGUGUCAUAUCUACGGCAGAAAAUUCUCCGGUUCUGUCCCAACCACUCUCAUGGAAAGUCGACCAUGAUUGCAGACAGAGAGAGACAUGUUUCCUCUACCAAAAAUGAAUGCUCAGCAACAGGUAUCUCCAAACCAAGACAAUAAUAUUAGAUGGGAAAUGCUACUUGUAUACGCUGGUUUACCACCUCGUUUACAGAAUACUGAGUUGACAAGAUUUUUCGGACAAAAAGACGAGGUUUAAAUAGCAUGUAAAAUCUUGCUACCUCAGCACCUGUAACUACUUCUGAUAAAAAAAAAUAUGUAAAAGUAGCAUUUUCCAUAUUAGAUUGAGCCUUUCAAUUUUCCUUUUGUGUGUAUAUGUCUUGGAUGAUCAUGUAUGGGGAGUGUAGUGAUUAGGCCUAGACGACUAUUUAUUGUUACACGUCACAAAGAUUAGCAUUGCAUAAUUUUGCAAACAUAAAUCACAUACGACGAGAUUCAAAUAUUCGCUGUAAUUCAUUAAAAUCGAAGCUAUGAAAUUGAUUUCACCAUAAUUUUUGGUUCCUUGCAUUGACGUUCAAACUUUACAGGUAAAGUUCGAAAACAAGGUUGGUUCUCGGCUAUAAAAGACGCACCAAGUGACGAUAAAUUACUGAGGAAAAGAAGUCACAUUUAGAGACACAGGAUACAAUCUGGAGUCGAGAAAAGAAAGGAAGGAUGAAUCUGCCUGAAAAUUGGAACAAUUUGUAUAAUGGGAUUAAUAGUUACCGAUCUCAGCAGGCUAUUUUAAUGAUGUAUGCUUAAGCGAAAGUAGUAAGUCCUUUGGUUUUAUAUAUAAAAGAACCCUACGCGCUCAAAUAGUCCUAUUACAUAUCUAAACUUCGUCUUAGAGAAAAUCCUAUGAUUAUAUUUCAUCAGAUGAUCAAAUACGGACAUGCUCGUCGCGCAGUGAUGGAUUGAAUGGAUGAUGAAAAGAAUUUAUAUAAAUGACUCUAAAUUCAUUAAGAAAUAAGGAUUUGUUUUGAUUUUCCGAGGUUCAAUCAGUUGAAUAUGUAUGGAAAUUGUAAGAAG